rnacentral:tRNA from 1 species
AGGGGUGUAGCUCAGUUGGUAGAGCAGCGGAUUCCAAAUCCGCAGGCCGGGAGUUCGAGCCUCUCCGCCCCUGCCC